AUUGAACGCUGGCGGCAUGCCUUACACAUUCAAGUCGAACGGUAACAGGUUAAGCUGACGAGUGGCGAACGGGUGAGUAAUAUAUCGGAACGUGCCCAGUCGUGGGGGAUAACUUCUCGAAAGAGCAGCUAAUACCGCAUACGACCUGAGGGUGAAUGCGGGGGAUCGCAAGACCUCGCGCGAUUGGAGCGGCCGAUAUCAGAUUAGGUCGUUGGUUGGGUAAAGGCAUAACAAACCUACGAUCCGUAGCUGUUCUGAGAGGAGGACCAGCCACCCUGGGGCUGAGACACGGCCCAGACUCCUACGGUAGGCAGCAGUGGGGAAUUGUGGACAAUGGACGCAAGUCUGAUCCAGCCAGGCCGCGUGUGGGAAGAAGGCCUUCGGGUUGCAAACCGCUUUUGUCAGGGAAGAAAAGGUUCUGGUUAAUACCUGGGACUCAUGACGGUACCUGAAGAAUAAGCACCGGCUAACUACGUGCCAGCCGCCGCCGUAAAAC
rnacentral:rRNA from 1 species